rnacentral:rRNA from 1 species
AGAAUCAACGCUGGCGGCGUGCCUAACACAUGCAAGUCGAACGAGAAAGUGGAGCAAUCCAUGAGUAAAGUGGCGCACGGGUGAGUAACACGUGACUAACCUACCCUUGAGUGGGGGAUAACCUAGGGAACCUGGGCUAAUACCGCAUAAUACCUUCGGGUCAAAGGAGCAAUUCGCUUAAGCGAGGGGGUCGCGGUCGAUUAGUUAGUUGGCGGGGUAAUGGCCCACCAAGACGAUGAUCGGUAUCCGGCCUGAGAGGGCGCACGGACACACUGGAACUGAAACACGGUCCAGACUCCUACGGGAGGCAGCAGUGGGGAAUUUUGCGCAAUGGGGGAAACCCUGACGCAGCAACGCCGCGUGGAGGAUGAAGUCCCUUGGGACGUAAACUCCUUUCGAUCGGGACGAUUAUGACGGUACCGGAAGAAGAAGCCCCGGCUAACUUCGUGCCAGCAGCCGC